CAUCAGCUGCUACAUCACCAUUUUGGGGGAGUUGAGUGGGACCUACAUAGUCAUAGAUAUAUGGCCCACAUCCUACUUCACCACAAAUCUCCUGCGGCACAGGACGCUCCCAGAUCCACUAUCUUCACCAUGUCUCAAAGAUCCAGAAGCUGUUAAAGCAGUUGACACUAAAAGAGGGUUACAAACUUUUACAUAUUUGCCACGGUCAUGCUGCGGUUCCAUCAGUAUGAUGGGGGGCUACUAAUGGACUCAGCCUCAGAAUCUAUCCCCUGCACCUGCCUAAUAGUAGGGAGUUGUGAAAGCCCCUGAAGAGAAGGGAGAGGGAGAGUGUAACCAUCCAGGAGAGAAAUUCAGAGCUCUCAUUGCAAUUAUGCCUUCCUACAACAAUGUCACCUGGGAUGCUGCUGGAAAUUGAAAAUGCUCUAACGGCCAGGCGCUCUUCAAUUAAAACUCUUACUAUUUCUAAUUAGCUCCCUGCCAUGUUUUCAUUGUAACAUUGAGAAGUUUUAUAGGUGGAAUGGAUGGGGAGUUGUCAUCAUUACAAGAAUGGCAUUGCAUUUAGAAAUUCCAUUAUUACAGUGGCAAAAAUGAAAAAUUAAUAGAAAAAAGAACUAAACUGGUAUAUUUUUAGCUGGUGAAACUUUCUGGUUCUCUUAUAUUACCUCAGCACCAUGGUAUGAUAUUUGGGUUGCAAACGAUGCAGGAGAACUUUAAACCCUUGGUCCCUCCACCCACCCUGGCAAACAACCAGCCAAACCAACCAAGUCCAAAAACUCUUUUCAGUAGGCCAAAUCCUUAUAUAAAUGCAAAUGAAUAACAGUAUUACAACAUGCGCAUCCUGGGGAUGAGUGCGUGGCUGUGCAGACAGUGUAGACAGGUGAGCUUCCUCAACCAUGGGAUGCUCUUCUGGGAAGGAGGACAGCUCAGAAGAGAUGGUAUCCACCUCACCACAAAAGAGAAGAGCAUCUUCACAUACCGACUCACCAACCUAGUGAGGAGUGUUUCAAACCAGGAUCAAAAGGGGCAGAUGACAAAAGUCCACAGGUAAGCAUAAAAAAGAUGACCUUAACAGAGUGCUAAAUAUUGGGGAGAACAUGGAAAAUUACAGUAGGGUCGUAGGAGGAACAAGAGAGAAAUCAGUGGAGGAAUCGCCUCAACAUUUUAGAUGUCUAUGCAUCUUUGGAGGACACUUUGCAUACACUUUGGAGGACAACAUGAGAAUUCAAAAUGACCUUGAAACAUCAGCUAAUUGGUCUGAAAUCAAUAUGAUGAAAUUAAAUAAAGACAAGUGCAAAGUACUAAGGAAAGAAAAAUCAUAUGCCCAGCUACCACAUGGGGAAUAACCGGCUAGGUGUUAGUCUUGCUGAAAAGGAUCUGGUGGUUAUAAUGGAUCACAAACUGAAUAUGAGCCAACAAUGUGAUUCAGUUCUCUAACAGGUUAAUAUCAUUCUGUGGUGUAUUAACAGGAGCGUCAUAUGUAAGAUCUGGGAGGCAAUUGUCCAGCACUGGUUGGCAUUGGUGAGGCCUCAGCUGAAGUACUGUCACCGAUUCUGGGUACCACACUUCAGGAAAGAUGUGGGUACUGGAGAGAGUCCGGAGGAGAGGAACAAAAAUGAUAACAGUUUAGAAAACCUGAUCUCUGAGUAAAGGUUAAAUAAAAUGGGCAUGUUUAGUCUUGAGAAAAGAAGACAGAGGGGAAAUGAAAAUAAUUGUCAAAUAUGUUAAAGGCUGUUAUAUAGAGGACUGUGAUCAAUGGUUCUCCAUGUCCACUGUAUGUAAGACAAGAAACAAUGGACUUCAUCUGCACCAAGGGAGAUUUAGGUUAGAUAUUAGGAAAAACUUUCUAACGAUAAGGGUAGUUAAACUCUGGAAUAAGUUGACAAGGGAGUUGUGGAAUCCCCAUCAUUGAAGGUUUAUAAGGACAAGUUGAAUAAACAUCUCUUAGGGAUGGUCUAAGUUUAUUUGGUCCUGCUUCAGUGCAGUGAUUGGACUAGAUGACCUCUUGCGGUCCCUCCUAGCCCUACAUUUGUAUGAUUCUAUUAUUAUCCUUUUAAGAAUUAAACUAAAAUUUGUACUGACACUGUUCAUUCACCACAUGAGCUAUUAAAAAUGUAUACACAUGCACGAAAGUUAGGGGCUGACCCUGAGAGGAACUGAACAUCUGCAUCUCCCCCUGACUUCAAGAGGGGUCACAUGGCUUUGAAUUCAGGGCAUGGUCAUGUGGAUUACAUACCCUUAGAGUGAAGUGUACAACUCCAGGCAGCAGAAUUCUGUAGGGCCAGCCAGCUAACUUCUUUCUGAGCAAGGACAGAGCGUCACCUCCAUUUAGCUCAAGGCCAGUGGGCUGCCUGCAAGUUGUGGCGAGGGGUAGGGAUUGUGAUCUCAUUCUGCUCAGUAGCUGCUUUUAUGACUCAGUGCAGGACGGUAUGCUCAGUAAUGCUAUCAUGCAGAUCUUCGGGAAUGAUAGGAGAGGGAGCCUUUGUUACCCCUUCUUCUCAUUCUCUGACUGGUCAUUGAUGGCAACAGCAGCCACAACAUAUUGAAGCCCUAACCGAAGAACAACAUUGGCUAAAUAUCCUUUAUUUAAUUAAAAUAGAGAAAGUUUCCCUCACAUCCAUUGCUUAUGCUGUUGUAUCAUAGCAACACUGUUUAUGGUAUUUAUAUAAACCCCAGUUAAUCAACCUUCAGUUAGCCAAAAUUCCUGGUGAAUGAAGGAUGAGACAUGCUUCUCUAUCCUAAACCUUAUUUUCCUAAAGGUUUCUCACGCCUCUGAAACCCUUAGGAAAAACAGGGUUACACUGUGUUUGAAAUAAACAGUGUUUGCAGUUGAUCAAACCUCUGAUCUUUGCUUCGAUGUUUAAUGAGCCUCAAGCACUGUUUAUUGCUCUAUCUGUUUCAGUGCUGUUAAUGUGAUCCAUGGAAUAGCGUCAAUCACUGAUGAAACAGGAGCAUCAAAAUGACCAUCUUCGUGUGUUAUCACAGUAAAUAAGACUUUUUUGAUCUUAUUCAUAUUUCCAACACACUGCCAAAAUAUUUUGGGAGUUUUUUCAUCCAUUGAGGUGAAAAAAUCCUAUAGGCAAAAGUGCUCCAAAGGUUGAAUGCUAUAAUGGGAAUUUCCUGAGAGGAGGAGCUGUACUCUUGGUGAAGGUAUUUGUAAAAGGGAUACCUUGCUGCCCAUGAGAUAUGUAGAUGAUAACCCCACCACUCACUGGUCCAACAUAUCCACAAAUCAUUUACAAUUUUCUUGUCUUUGGGGAAAAGCCUGCUCCAGGAAAAGGCAGUAUUUGACAAAUAAUACCCAUUACCUGCACUCAAAAACAUUGUCAACACCCCCUCUAUUUGCCUACUCCUAAAAAUACAGUACAGUGGUCCCAUCAAUAAUGAGUGAUAAGGAUAACAAAAUGAAAACCCUACCAGUAGAGAGAACCAAAUCUUCACUCAACUACCAUAUUUGCAAUGUCUCCCAUUUUCCCGCCAUUUUGGCAAGCAGACGUUACCAAAAAAAAAAAAAAAGCUGGACAUGAGGAGUCUUAUGUCACCAGAUCGAGUUGUUCCCUUGCCAUUUCUUUUCCUUCCCUCACAAUUCCUCAAUGGAUCCCAUUGCCAGUGUUACUACCACUCUGUUCAGAGGUCCCUCAACUGACCCUGCUUUCCGUUUCCUCUGUAGCAUUCUAUCCCUAUCCUAAAGCUCUGAUGGCUUCCAUUACUCUAGGCUUCCAUUGUUUCCUUCCUUCCUUGCCCUGAAAUUCCUUCAGUUCCCACUUCAUCUGAAGCUUCCAUCCCUAACUGAACCUAUUGCACGAAAUGGGACUUGCCCAGCAGUCGUUAUCAGGGAUGGAGAAAAGGUGGGGUAAAACUUUUACAAGUCAACAUUCUAUGGGAAAUAUGUUCAGGUGGGGGAUGGGAAACAAAAGUUUCAUGUAAUAUAGAACUUCAAAAUCUUAGAUCUCUGCAAGUAUUACAGAUCAAUGGCCAAAGUGCACACAAGGACAAGAGGAAAAAGGGCAGAGAUAACACCCUUUACCAUUACAGUGUCUAGAUACUUUGUUAUAUUUAUUUACCAUUGCGGUCUCCUUUAAACCUUAUGUACAUGCCUCCUUUAGAG